CGUCUCCCGCUACACAUCUCUGCAUAAUACAGUAUUCUGCACCCUUUGCAAAAAAAUUGAUUUUCAGAAGGAUUUUCAAGGUCCUUAUUUCCUAUUAACUUAAAGAUGUCCUCCAGUGAUUUUUAAACUUUUCCUGUUAAGGUGAUAUCCCAAGUAUAAAGACAGUAAAGUACACACAGUAAAGGGUAAACAAAUAUGUUUGGAUUAAAAUAGUGUUUUUUAGACAGAACUGCAAACUACCAGGAGGAGGGCAUUCAAGGAGUUGGUUUGAUGGAAAGUCUAUUGGCUCGAGGAACAAUAGAAGAGCAAUGGAGAACAACCCCACUUGUGCAGUUUCAGACAUACCCGGACCACCUAUUGAGUUGUGCCUUUUGUUAAAUAAAUCAGGUGUUCAAUGAGGUGAGAAUGAGACUGGAGUGCUACUUUAAGUCUUUGGAGCAUUGUUCACACAAUAGCACAUUUCAGUUUUUCAAAACUUUCCCCAACGGAAGCAUUUCUCGUCGUUGAGGUCCAAGGAGGGGAAACAAAUCCCAAAGAAUGUGAUAUGAACAUGAUGCAUCCACUGAAAGAAGUGAUACAGUGUCUGGAGGGAGAGUCAUGGAGAUGGCCUGUGUUGCGUAAUAAUUGUAGUAUGAUCUAAAAUAAAGACGCGCGACAAUGAGGUUCUAGCUCCAGUCUGUUUAUUAACCUAACCCUCGCAUGUCCUACAUAGGUACGGAUACCCCCAAGGGACAUCCUACUACAUCUUCCCCUCUCCCAGAACUCAACAUGCAUGCAAUUUGGAAACCAGUGUUAUUCUCUAACAUGCUACUUCCCAUCCUGAAACAGUAUGAAAGUAUUAAAUCACACAGUAUGAACAUUAACUUAGGUACAAUCUCUUUUUGCUGGGUAUGGUCCCCAGCAGUAUGUUUUCUCUUCACAUAUAUAGUCUUUCAGCCACACUGGUGGCUUCACAUCCCUUUUUGGGUGCGCUUGUGGCUCUGUGAGCAUUCUCUCUCCUUCACCCUCUUUUUGUGCAUUUUCUGUGGCCUCAGUCUGUGUGGCUGGUAGAUCUGGAAGAGCUCUGAGGUGUGUUUUGUUCCUUCGUACCUCUUCUGAGCCUGUGUCCAUCACAUAGGAGCGUGGGGCAUCCGCUUUCCUCAGCACCAUUGCUGGCGUCUUUGAGUUUGUAAUCCACUCCCGUUGACCUUCGGUCAACUCUGGCCUCUCUUUAGCACGGUGUCUCCGAUUAAAGUCUCCAGUUUGCGUUUGUUUCAGAUGUUUGUCCCUCUCAGCGAAGGCCUUCCUGUUAGGCCAUCAGGGUUUAAGCUGAGCCGGCGAGACAGGCAAUGGGGAACGCAGCCUCCUGCCCAUCAGGAGCUCAGCAGGUGACGGCCCAUGAUGCAGUGGUGUAACUCUGUAAGCUAACAGAACCGUGUAUGGAUCCUUGUUCUUUUUCAGCAGUCCCUUGACUGUUUUCACAGCUCUCUCUGCCUCACCAUUACUCUGUGCAUGGUAGGGGCUACUGGUCACAUGUAUGAAGUCAUAUUCUGCGGCAAAAGCAGAAAAGGAGCUCGCAGAGAACUGGGGACCGUUAUCUGUAACCAGGACCUCAGCGAAACCCUUGCCUGGAAAAAAAUAGACUUUAAUCCAUUGAUAACACCAGCUGAUGUGGUUAUGGGUGUCUUUGCUAUUUCAAUGUAUCUUGAGUAGUAAUCUACCACUAGCAGAUAAGUGUCAUUUUUCCAAUAGAACAUAUCUGCCCCUACCUUUUGCCAUGGCCGUUUUGGCAGCUCCGUUGCCAUCAUUGGCUCCGGAUGACAAGGUUGACAUUUUGUACAGACCUCACAAUGGGCCACUAGCUUGGCAAUCUGAGUACUCAGACCAAGCCACCACACUGACUGUUGAGCCCUCAGUCUGCAUUUGGUUAUCCCCAUGUGUCCAUCAUGCACUCUGUCUAGCAUUUCUGGUUGUAGAGUCUCUGGGAUAACUAUCUGUUGUCCUUUCAUGAGAAGGUCUCCAUUACAGUGGAAGUCACUUUGGUGCACCCAAUAGGGCUUCAGCAGCUAAGGUAGUUCCUCCUGCCUGGGCCAUCCCUUUUUGCACUGCUGCACUAUCUGUUGGCAGAUGUGGUCUCGUUGUUGCUCCUCUGCAAUCUGCUGCAGUUUGGUCUGAGAUGCAGGUAGACUGUCCCUUAUUGCAUUAAUGGACACCUGUACCUCACCCUCUAGACAUGGCUCCUCCUCUGAUAAUGGACGUUUAAUUGGGGCCCUGGAGAGUGCAUCUGCUGUGAUCAGUGCCUUCCCUGGCACAUACACCAUCUUGUAGGUGAACCUCAGUAAUCUGAGGCGGAAGCGCAGAACUCUGGGAGGCAAGUCGUCCAGUGCUUUUGUCCCUAACAGAGCCAACAGUGGUUUGUGGUCAGUCUCUGCUGUAAACUGCAGGCCAAUAAGCUAUUGGCUGAGCCUUUCACAUGCCCAUGUGAUAGCUAACACCUCCUCCACUUGAGCAUAUCUUUGCUCUGUGUCGGAUAAGCUUCGGGAGAUGUAUGCUAUUGGACAUCCACUCCAUGUUGUCCUGCAUCUGUGUGAGGACCGCCCCUAGCCCAAAGGAUGAUGCAUCUGUGUGAGGACCGCCCCUAGCCCAAAGGAUGAUGCAUCUGUGUGAGGACCGCCCCUAGCCCAAAGGAUGAUGCAUCUGUGUGAGGACCGCCCCUAGCCCAAAGGAUGAUGCAUCUGCUGAUACUUUUGUCUUAGCGUGGGGACGGUACUGGGCCAGCACUCUCUGUGAGGCCAGAUCUCCUUUGAUUUUGUCAAACGCCACCUGUUGCAUGUGACCCCAUGACCAGUCAUUCUCUUUGGCUAGUAAGUCUCUGAGGUUUGGUUGUAUCUGAGAACUGUGGGAGGAACUUACCCACAUAUGUGGCCAUGCCUAAGAAGUUCCUGACUUCAGCCACAUUCUGGGGUCUGGGCAUAUCUGUGAUGGCGCUGAUCUUCUCGGGGCCUUCUCUAUUCCAGCUGCACUGAUUUUGUGUCCCAAGAACAAGUCCUCUGAUUGUGCAAAAGUGCAUUUUUCAUUGAGUGUCAGGCCAGUCUCCUGGAGUCGGGUCAGAACUGCUGUGAGCUUUACAUCAUGUUCUGCUCUGUCCCUUCCGCACACAAGCACAUCGUCCGCAUGGACUAUGACGCCACUCAGCCCCUCCAACAGCUGGGACAUGCGUCUUUGGAAAUGCUCAGGACCGGAAGCGAUUCCAAAUGGCAAAACAUUAAAACAGUACCGGCCAAACGGUGUUAUAAACGUUGUGAGCUCCCUACUCUCUGAUGACAGCUGUGUCUGCCAGAAACCUGAGCGGGCAUCCAGCUUUGUGAAGGCUUGUGAGCCACCCAACUGAGCCAGUGACUGCUCCACUGAUGGUAAGAUGUGUCUCUCUCUGCAGAGUGCCUCAUUCAAUUUAGUCAUGUCCACACAGAUCCUUAUGUCCCCAUUGGCUUUUGGGACCACCACCAUCCCUGCACACCAGUCUGUGGGACUCUCUAUUUUAGACACCGCCCCAAUGUCUUCCAUCCUCCCCAACUCUUCCUUUACUCUGGCCAAUAAAGGGAUAGGCACCCGGCGGGGGGUGGUAAGGGCAUAGGGGACAGCAUCCUCUUUCAGGCGGAUUUUGUGGUCACCUUAUAUCCUUCCUAGACCAGAAAACACUUUUGCAAAUUUCUUUUUGAAAACCUCACCUGGGUCCUCCAGUUCGCUCACUCUCUCAAUGAGUUGCAAUGCUUCAAUUGCUGGCAGCCCCAGCAACGGUCUGGCUAGAGAGUCAAUGACGAAGACAGGCUGGAUGGCACUUUUGUCUUUACUCUCCAGUUUAAUCACCAAGUGCCCUACCACUAGUAAAAUGUUAUUACUGGGCCCGUACAGUUUUUUGUUUGUAGAGAGCAAAGGGCCAUCUCUGCUAUAGCUAUACAGCCUAGUUGGUAUUGCUGUUACUGCUGCCCCAGUGUCUAGUUUAAAUGACACAACCUCCCCAUUGAGUUUAAUGUCUGAAUGCCCGCCAGUAUUGUUUCCCUUUACUUCUCCCAGAAAGAUGCUGUCCUGCUGUACCUCCUCUGAAGCCUCAUGCAUUUGCUUUAAUUGACAGACAGCUGAAAAGUGUCCUCUCCUGUGACAUUUCCUGCAUUCCGUAUCAUUUGCUGGGCAGUCUUUCCCACAUUUGCGACAAAUAUUUGAACUAGCUACUGGUGCUGUCUGUGAUUGUUUUCUCCACGUCUGUCUCUGUUCUGUGUUCCCCUCCGUUUUUUUUUUUUUUUAGCUCUGUAUGAAAAUGCAUGUAUUUCCUCACUCUCUUCGUUCUGCAAGGAGCUGCUGUCGCGCUGUAUCGUCUGCUGUCUUUUUACUGUGUCUCUCUGCCUAACCUGGUUUACAGCUUUGGACAAGGUUGCUGCCAUCAUGACUCUACCUUUUGACGUGGUGAAGACACGAAGACAGAUCCAACUGGGAGAGAUAGAGACACUGGGAGAUGUUCCCUGUGAAGAAUCCAGUGGCGUGCCGUGGGCCUGGGGCCUGGGCCUU